GGGGAUGUAGCUCAGUGGUAGAGCACUUGCCUAGCAUGCACAAGGCCCUGAGUUCCAUCCUCAGCACCA
rnacentral:tRNA from 1 species